rnacentral:rRNA from 1 species
CCUACGGGGGGCUGUAGUGAGGAAUAUUGGUCAAUGGACGAGAGUCUGAACCAGCCAAGUAGCGUGAAGGAUGACUGCCCUAUGGGUUGUAAGCUUCUUUUAUAGAGGAAUAAAACGAGGCACGUGUGCCUUUUUGCAUGUACUUUAUGAAUGAGGAUCGGCUAACUCCGUGCCAGCAGCCGCGGUAAUACGGAGGAUCCGAGCGUUAUCCGGAUUUAUUGGGUUUAAGGGGAGCGUAGAUGGGUUGUUAAGUCAGUUGUGAAAGUUUGCGGCUCAACCGUAAAAUUGCAAUUGAGACUGGCAGGCUGGAGUACAGUUGAGGUAGGCGGAAUUCGUGGUGUAGCGGUGAAAUGCGUAGAUAUCACGAAGAACCCCGAUUGCGAAGGCAGCUUACUAAACUGUGACUGACAUUGAGGCUCGAAAGCGUGGGUAUCAAACAGGAUUAGAUACCCGGGUAGUC